rnacentral:lncRNA from 1 species
AAAUCUGAGGUGUAUUCUUUUAUGUCUUGCUAUUAAAUUACGUCCAAUUUCAACGCCUGUCUGAUUGUGGAAACUCUCUUUUGGAUGGCUUUCACAGCAAUGUGUCUUUUGUUAUUGAUCACAACGGCAUUUAGAAUUUUGAAUCACUAGGAUUCUUAGAAUUGUUAUGAUAAUACCAUGAAGAGAUUUUUUCUUUUCUUUUUUUAAAUUUUUUCUUAUUUUUUGGCUGCAUAGUAUAAGGGUGCCACUAUAUGCCCGUUACAUGAAACUUUUCGUGGCAAACAAAUUCGGUCGGCAAAUGUUUUAACAUUAAGAAUAGUAAUGUUCCCGGACCUUUUACCCAUCACUUAACAAGAAAUUUGUUUGUAAUUUCAGUUUAAUCACAUACGAUUAGGUGGGAGGUUGACAGAUCCCUAACUGUUGAUUUGUGGCUCUCCCGUAUCUUCAAGUAUGCGUUUUAACAAUAUUGCUUGAUUCGUAGUCAUUGCUGCUGCAAUAUACUCUGCUUCAGCUAAUGAUUGUGCAAUCGUUGCUUGUUUCUUUGAUGCCCAAGAAAAUAUUCCCGAAUCUAGUGUGAAUGCAUAGCCUGAUGUGCUCUUCAUAUUUUCUAUUGAUCUUGCCCAAUUGCUAUCAAUAUACCCAAGUAGUCUUGAGUUAGACGUAGACUCAUACCUUAUUCCAUAGUCUUUCGUUCCUUGGAGGUAUCUUAGUAUCCGCUUUGUAGCUCCAUAGUGAACUUGACUUGGAUUUUGCAUAAAUCUUGAAAGUAGGCUGGCUGCAUACAUUAUGUCUGGCCCUGUAGCAAUUAGAUAGAGUAAACUUCCAAUUAAGCUUCGAAAUUGUGAGCUAUCUGCUUUUGGAGUACCGUCUUCUUUUCUGAGUGAUUUGUUGCCAUCCAGAGGUGUUGCUACUGUUUUGCAACCUUCCAUCUUGAACUUUUUUAAUAGAUUGGUGGUAUACUUCUUCUGAGCUAUAAAUAUCCCAUCUUUAGAUUGAGUUACCUCGAUCCCAAGAAAAUAGUGCAUUAAUCCCAGAUCAGUCAUCUCGAACGUUUUCAUCAUAUCUUCCUUGAAUUUCUUGAUCAUCUUCUCAUCAUUCCCUGUGUAGAUGAGAUCAUCAACAUAUAAAGAGAUUAUAAGUGUACUAUUUGUACCUUGGUUUUUGAUGUAUAGAGUUGGUUCACUUUGGCUCCUCCUGAAUCCUUGCUUAGUGAAGUAGUUGUCAAUUCUGCUGUACCAGGCUCGCGGAGCUUGCUUUAAUCCAUAUAGUGCCUUCUUUAGUUUGAAAACUUUAUAUUCUUUACCUCGAACCACGUACCCUUGAAGUUGCUCCACAUAAAUUUCUUCUUCAAGAUAGCCAUUAAGAAAUGCCGAUUUGACGUCCAGCUGGUAAAUCUUCCACCUUUUCUGUGCGGCUAGUGCAAUUAACGCUCUUAUAGUAUCGAGACAUGCAACAGGGGCAAAUGUCUCAGUGUAAUCGAUGCUAAACUGCUGUGAGUAUCCUUUGGCAACUAGUCUUGCUUUAUGUUUUUGAAUUGAGCCAUCAGCAUUGAGUUUUGUCUUGUAGACCCACUUAACUCCUAUGACUUCUUUAUCUUGAAGAGGAUCUACAAGCUCCCAAGUAUUGUUUUUCUCGAUCAUUUUUAUUUCUUCAUCCAUAGCAUUUCUCUAUUCUGGUUGUUUUGAAGUUGCUUCAUAGCUUUCAGGUUCUAUGAUCAUCAAGUUGCAUCUUUCAUAUAUUUCUGAUAAUCUUCGUGUCUUUCUUGACGAUGAUUCUGGUGAGUCAAUUGGUUCUUCUAUAACUGCAUGCUGCGGAGACUCUGGUUGAUUGUUCUCCUCAACAUCACUCUCCUGCUUUUGUGGUUGUGUAAGAGUGCUGCCAUCUUUUUUCUCAAUUUGACCAGUUUCCUAGGUGUAGGUGGCAUCUUCAUCAAACUUUACGUCUCGACUUAUAAUUAGCUUCUUUGUUCCUAGGUUAUAUACUCGAUAGCCUUUUGAUUGAGUACUAUAAUCUAAGAAGAUUCCUUUUUCAGUCUUUUCAUCCAGCUUACCUCUUUUUCCUGAGGUAUAUGUGUGUAGCAGAUGCAGCCGAAAACUCUGAGAUGUUUUGCUGAUGGUUUUCGUCUGCCCCAUGCUUCAACUGGUGUUUUGUCUUGCACUGCCUUUGUCGGACAUCGAUUUAGUAGAUAGACUGCAUUGCUUACUGUUUCUGCCCAAAAUGUUUUUGGAAGACCUUUCUCCAUCAGCAUAGCUCUAGCUGUCUCCAUUACUGUUCUGUUCUUUCUUUCUGACACGCCAUUUUGUUCCGGCACGUACCCAACAGUAAGUUGAUGCUCCAUUCCUUCAUCUUCACAAAACUUGUUGAAUUUAUUUGAUGUAUAUUCCCUGCCUCUGUCGCUUCUGAUAGUUUUGAUUUUGCAACCACUUUGCUUUUCGACAUAGCUUUUGAACUUUUUGAAAAUCUCAAAUACUUAGGAUUUUUCUUGCAAGAAAUAUACCCAUGUCAUUCUAGUAUAGUCAUCUAUGAAUAGAAUGAAGUACUUGUUUUGGUUAUGUGAUGGAGUACGCAUCGGGCCACAUACAUCCGUAUGUAUCAACUCCAAAGGCUUUUUGGCUCUCCAUGCUUUUCCAGAUGGAAAUGGUUGACAGUGAUGUUUCCCGCUCAAGCAUCCUUCGCAAAUUGCAUCAAUUUCUUUUAUGACUGGUAAGUCUCUCAUCAUGCUCUUUUGCUUCAAAAUCUUUAACCCAUGGAAGUGGUAAUGUCCAAAUCUUUUAUGCCACAACCAUGACUCGUCUACUUGCACCGCCAUUGCCGCAUUGUCUGCGUAUCUCCAUUGGAUUGGAAAACAUCUGUUCUCCCGCUUUUUUACGUUUGCAAUUACCAGAUGUUUAUCUUUCUUAUCAUAAAUUAUACAAUAAUCUCCUUCCAAAUGUAUAUUGUAUCCUUUCUCCAUCAUCUGACCUACACUUAGUAGAUUUUGAUCUAUUGUAGGGACUAAGAGAACUUCAUUAAUGUAUCUCUUGCCCUUUUUUGUAUCAACGGCAAUAGUACCUUUACCUGUAGCCUUUAAAAAAUUUCCAUUGCCAAUUUUUAUUUUUGUAUUUAUUUUAUCGAGAUUGCAGAAAAUACUUUCAUCCUUCGUCAUGUGAUUACUGCAGCCACUAUCUAGAUACCACGUAUCUAAUUUCUUUUCAGAGACAUUCUUCUUGGAGGCAUAAAAUAGAUUUCUUUUUGUCUCCUUUUCUUCAGAGCCACGUUCGAUUGAUAUUGGGCGUACGCAUAUAUGAUGGCAGACGCUUUCCGCUCAUCAAUUCCUAUCCCAACAUUUAAUGAGGAUAACUAUGAUUUUUGGUCUAUCAAAAUGAAGACCUACUUUUGUGCUCAAAAUUUAUGGGAUGUCGUCAACGAUGGGUAUACUAACCCAGAUGACAUUUUCACUUUAACUUCCGCACAAAAGAAGGAACUUAAGGAGAAUCAACAAAAAGAUUCUCUAACAUUACUUUCUCUACAAAUGAGCUUGACAGAUACAUAUUUUCCAAGAAUUAUGGGAGCCAAAACAGCGAAAGAAGCAUGGGAUAAGUUGAAGGAGGAGUUCUACUGCAGUAACAAGGUACGUAAUUGCCGCCUUCAAACUUUAAGAAGGAAUUCUGAAAAUCUAAAAAUGAAAGAGUCGGAAACUGCAAAAGAUUAUUAUUCAAGAAUAGAUGAAAUAGUAAAUCAACUAAGAUCUUAUGGUGAUGAUGGUCCGGAAAAGAAGGUCGUUGGAAAAAUUUUAAUUACUUGCACAGAAAAAUAUGAUCCAAUUAUUGCAGCUAUUGAGGAAUCCAAGGAUAUAGAUGAAUUAACAGCUGCAGAAUUAAUGGGAUCAUUAGAAGCUCGUGAAAAAAGUUCAAAGGCUAUGUCGAAAAGCAAAGUGGUUGCAAAAUCAAAACUAUCAGAAGCGACAAAGGCAGGGAAUAUACAUCAAAUAAAUUCAACAAGUUUUGUGAAGAUGAAGGAAUGGAGCAUCAACUUACUGUUGGGUACGAGUCGGAACAAAAUGGCGUGUUAGAAAGAAAGAACAGAACAGUAAUGGAGACAGUUAGAGCUAUGCUGAUGGAGAAAGGUCUUCCAAAAAUAUUUUGGGCAGAAGCAGUAAGCACUGCAGUCUAUCUACUAAAUCAAUGUCCGACAAAGGCAGUGCAAGACAAAACACCAGUUGAAGCAUGGGGCGAACGAAAACCAUCGGCAAAACAUCUCAGAGUUUUCGGCUGCAUCUGCUACACACAUAUACCUCAGGAGAAAAGAGGUAAGCUGGAUGAAAAGACUGAAAAAUGAAUCUUCUUAGAUUAUAGUACUCAAUCAAAAGACUAUCGAGUUUAUAACCUAAGAACAAAGAAGCUAAUUAUAAGUCGAGACGUAAAGUUUGAUGAAGAUGCCACCUACAACUGGGAGACUGGUCAAAUUGAGAAAAAAGAUGUCAGCACCCUUACACAACCACAAAAGCAGGAGAGUGAUGUUGAGGAGAAUAAUCAACCAGAGUCUCCGCAGCAUACAGUUAUAGAAGAACCAGUUGAUUCACCAGAAUUAUCGCCAAGAAAGACAUGAAGAUUAUCAGAAAUAUAUGAAAGAUGCAACUUGAUGAUCAUAGAACUUGAAAGCUAUGAAGCGGCUUCAAAACAACCAGAAUGGAGAAAUGCUAUGGAUGGAGAAAUAAAAAUGAUCGAGAAAAACAAUACUUGGGAGCUUGUAGAUCCUCUUCAAGAUAAAGAAGUCAUAGGAGUUAAGUGGGUCUACAAGACAAAACUCAAUGCUGAUGGCUCAAUUCAAAAACAUAAAGCAAGACUAGUUGCCAAAGGAUACUCACAGCAGUUUGGCAUCGAUUACACUGAGACAUUUGCCCCUGUUGCACAUCUCGAUACUAUAAGGGCGCUAAUUGCACUAGCCGCACAGAAAAGGUGGAAGAUUUACCAGCUGGACAUCAAAUCGGCAUUUCUUAAUGACUAUCUUGAAGAAGAAAUUUAUGUGGAGCAACCUCAAGGAUACGUGGUUCGAGGUAAAGAAUAUAAAGUUUUCAAACUAAAGAAGGCACUAUAUGGAUUAAAGCAAGCUCCGCGAGCCUGGUACAGCAUAUUUGACAACUACUUCACUAAGCAAGGAUUCAGGAGGAGCCAAAGUGAACCAACUCUAUACAUCAAAAACCAAGGUACAAAUAGUACACUUAUAAUCUCUUUAUAUGUUGGCGAUCUCAUCUACACAAGGAAUGAUGAGAAGAUGAUCAAGAAAAAAGAAGCUAGACAAAGUUCAAGCUAUUGUAAGCUAUCAUCAUUCUAAUAAAAUUCCUUUCUUGCCUAAAAUAUCCUAGAAUUCCUUGGUAAGCAAGUAUAAUAAAAAAUUAGAAUUGUCUAGAUUCCACUAGAGUAACUUGGACACCAAAAAACCUUGUAUAGGUUGUAGACACUUGUAGAAUUCUCUAGAAGAUAUGAUAAGAGUAUAUAAAUAGGGCAUGAUCCCUCAUUUGGUAGUAAGAAAAAGGAAGCUAGACAAAGCUCAAGCUAUUGUAAGCUAUCAUCAUUCUAAUAAAAUUCCUUUCUCCUAUCCACUUUGUCCACCAAAUUACUUUCUACCAAAAUCUUCCAAACUAUUAACUUUCAAUAAAAAGCCAACUAUUUUUUACCUCCAAAAUUAUUCCAUACAAAACAUCCUCAAUCAUCCUAUCUCAUCAAUACAACAACACAAAAACUAUCAUGAUUGAAUGAGAGAAGACAUUAGAAAAGGGUCGGACAUAACCUUACCUCCAGAUUUACAGGAGAGAACAUAAAAACUUUUCAAAGCUAUGAAUUCGGACGUACUACAUUCCACAAAAAUGAGAAUGGAAGUAACAACCAAAAAUUCUAGAACCUCAUUUUCUAAAUUGAACACAAGGACGCUGAGUUUAUCCAUCCUUAGAAGCCCCCACAAAACCCCCAUAGACCUCUUCCAAAUUGAUAAGAUUCUAUUGCAAUUACUAGAAAUCACUGCGUUAGAGCAAGAAAAUCUGCUACUGCGUUGCUUU